rnacentral:rRNA from 1 species
GCAUAUCAUAGCGAGGAAAAGAACCAACAGGGAUUGCCCUAGUAACGGCGAGUGAAGCGGCAACAGCUCAAAUUUGAAAUCUGGCUCUUUCAGAGUCCGAGUUGUAAUUUGCAGAGGGCGCUUUGGCGUUGGCAGCGGUCCAAGUUCCUUGGAACAGGACGUCACAGAGGGUGAGAAUCCCGUACGUGGUCGCUGGCCUUCGCCGUGUAAAGCCCCUUCGACGAGUCGAGUUGUUUGGGAAUGCAGCUCUAAAUGGGAGGUAAAUUUCUUCUAAAGCUAAAUACUGGCCAGAGACCGAUAGCGCACAAGUAGAGUGAUCGAAAGAUGAAAAGCACUUUGGAAAGAGAGUCAAAUAGCACGUGAAAUUGUUGAAAGGGAAGCGCUUGCAGCCAGACUUGCCUGUAGUUGCUCAUCCGGGCUUUUGCCCGGUGCACUCUUCUGCGGGCAGGCCAGCAUCAGUUUGGGCGGUUGGAUAAAGGUCUCUGUCAUGUACCUCUCUUCGGGGAGGCCUUAUAGGGGAGACGUCAUACAACCAGCCUGGACUGAGGUCCGCGCAUUUAUGCUAGGAUGCUGGCGUAAUGGCUGUAAGCGGCCCGUCUUGAAACACGGACCAAGGAGUCUAACAUCUAUGCGAGUGUUUGGGUGUCAAGCCCGAACGCGUAAUGAAAGUGAACGGAGGUGGGACCCCAUUAGGGUGCACCAUCGACCGAUCCUGAUGUCUUCGGAUGGAUUUGAGUAAGAGCAUGGCUGUUGGGACCCGAAAGAUGGUGAACUAUGCUUGAAUAGGGUGAAGCCAGAGGAAACUCUGGUGGAGGCUCGCAGCGGUUCUGACGUGCAAAUCGAUCGUCAAAUUUGGGCAUAGGGGCGAAAGACUAAUCGAACUAUCUAGUAGCUGGGUUCUGCCGAG